rnacentral:tRNA from 1 species
GGUAAAAUGGCUGAGAAACUUAGGCGAUAGAUUGUAAAUUUAUUUAGAAGGAAGAAUCCUUUUUUACCA